rnacentral:rRNA from 1 species
AAUCGAACCCGGAGAUAGCUGGUUCUCCCCGAAAUAGCUUUAGGGCUAGCGUCGCAGCGAGAGAGCCGUGAAGGUAGAGCACUGAAUAUGCGAUGGCCGCAUCCCGCGGUACUGAGCAUAAUCAAACUCCGAAUGUCACGGUGUCAUCUGCGGCAGUCAGACGGCGAGUGAUAAGGUCCGUCGUCAAGAGGGAAACAGCCCAGACCAUCAGCUAAGGUCCCAAAGUGCAUGCUAAGUGGAAAAGGAAGUGGAGACGUGCAGACAACUAGGAGGUUGGCUCAGAAGCAGCCAUCCUUCAAAGAGUGCGUAACAGCUCACUAGUCGAAUGACUCUGCGCCGAUAAUUUACCGGGGCUAAGCAUGACACCGAAGCUAUGGACAGGAAUGUGGUAGGGGAGCAUUGCAUGCAGCGGAGAAGCAUGACCGGAAGGGCAUGUGGAGCGCAUGGAAGAGAGAAUGCCGGCGUGAGUAGCGGCACGUGGGUGAGAAUCCCACGCACCGAUGGCCCAAGGUCUCCAGAGGAAGGCUCGUCCUCUCUGGGAUAGUCGGGACCUAAGGCGAGGCCGAAAGGCGUAGCCGAUGGACGACGGGUGGAUAUUCCCGUACCCGAUGUGUGGCGAUGGAGUGACGGAGAAGGCUCAGGCAACCAGCUGCUGGAAUAGCUGGGGCAAGCGAGAUACCUGCGCACCAGGGAAAUCCGGUGCGCAUAAGGGGAAGGCGCGAUGCAUACGGAAAGCUUCGGCAAGUACGGAAAAGCUGAGAGCAGGCUUCCAGGAAAAGCUUCUAGCACAACACACAUCGGCCCGUACCGAAAAUGGACACACAUGGGCAAGGAGAGAAUCCUGAGGUGAGCGAGAGAACUAUAGCUAAGGAACUCUGCAAAAUGACCCCGUAACCUAGGGAGAAGGGGUGCUCCAGAAAUGGAGCCGCAGUAAAACGGCCCAAGCGACUGUUUACCAAAAACACAGCUCUCUGCGAAGGCGCAAGCCGAAGUAUAGGGGGUGACGCCUGCCCGGUGCUGGAAGGUCAAGGGGAGCUGUCAGCGCAAGCGAAGCAGCGAGCCGAAGCCCCAGUAAACGGCGGCCGUAACUAUAACGGUCCUAAGGUAGCGAAAUUCCUUGUCGGGCAAGUUCCGACCCGCACGAAAGGCGUAACGAUUUGGGCGCUGUCUCAGCUGUAGACUCGGUGAAGUCUUAGUACCUGUGAAGAUGCAGGUUGCCCGCGACUAGACGGAAAGACCCCAUGGAGCUUCACUGCAGGUUGACAUUGGGCUUGGAUGCAUGAUGUACAGGAUAGGUGGGAGGCUGUGAGCCGUGCGCGCCAGCGUACGGGGAGCCGCUGUUGGGAUACCACCCUUCAUGCAUCUAGGUCCUAACCGGAGGCAACGGGCCACGGGACAGUGUCAGUCGGGCAGUUUGACUGGGGCGGUCGCCUCCCAAAGAGUAACGGAGGCGCCCAAAGAUACCCUCAGCAUGGAUGGAAACCAUGCAUAGAGUGCAAAGGCAUAAGGGUGUCUGACUGCGAGACAUACAGGUCGAGCAGGGACGAAAGUCGGGCUUAGUGAUCCGGCGGAUCCGAAUGGAAGGGCCGUCGCUCAACGGAUAAAAGCUACCCUGGGGAUAACAGGCUGAUCUCCCCCAAGAGUUCACAUCGACGGGGAGGUUUGGCACCUCGAUGUCGGCUCAUCGCAUCCUGGAGCUGAAGUCGGUUCCAAGGGUUGGGCUGUUCGCCCAUUAAAGCGGUACGCGAGCUGGGUUCAGAACGUCGUGAGACAGUUCGGUCCCUAUCUGUCGUGGGCGCAGGAGGUUUGAGGAGAGCUGCCCCUAGUACGAGAGGACCGGGGUGGACGGACCGAUGGUGCACCAGUUGUCACGCCAGUGGCACAGCUGGGCAGCCAAGUCCGGACGGGAUAAGCGCUGAAGGCAUCUAAGCGUGAAGCCCCCUCCAAGAUGAGACCUCCCAUUGG